ACACGAUGUAGCUAUCGUUUGGGAGCUUUUCAAUCCGUUGGAAAAAUGGAAAUAAAUCAACUUCUUCCAACUUUAGCGGCUGAAGUGGCUACUCUCAUUGUUGUCGGCGGAACUCGGGCCAGGCCACGCGAAGGAAAGGCCUUCAAUGUCCUGAGAUUCAACCGAAAACAAAUUUAUAUAAAGAUGGGUUUCUGCCCGAAAGGAGUUACCAAAAUAAAUUGUACAUUAAACCUUCGGCUAGUGUUCGCGGUUCGUGGGAACCUAUGCUUCGAAA